GACGAACGCUGGCGGCAUGCCUAAUACAUGCAAGUCGAGCGAACAGAUGAAGUGCUUGCACUUCUGACGUUAGCGGCGAACGGGUGAGUAACACGUAAGGAAUCUACCUAUAAGCGGGGGAUAACAUUCGGAAACGGGUGCUAAUACCGCAUAAUAUCUUCUUCCGCAUGGAAGAAGAUUGAAAGACGGCUCUGCUGUCACUUAUAGAUGACCUUGCGGUGCAUUUGUUAGUUGGUGGGGUAACGGCCUACCAAGACGAAGCUGCAUAGCCGACCUGAGAGGGUGAUCGGCCACCUGGGGACUGCGACACGGCCCAAACUCCUACGGGAGGCAGCAGUAGGGAAUCUUCCGCAAUGGGCGAAAGCCUGACGGGGCAAUGCCGCGUGAGUGAAGAAGGCCUUCGGGUCGUAAAACUCUGUUAUAAGAGAAGAACAAAUUGUAGAGUAACUGCUACAGUCUUGACGGUAUCUUAUCAGAAAGCCACGGCUAACUACGUGCCAGCCGCCGCAGUAA
rnacentral:rRNA from 1 species